rnacentral:rRNA from 1 species
GAGAGUGGCGAACGGGUGCGUAACGCGUAUGCAACCUACCUUCAUCAGGGGGAUAGCCCGGAGAAAUUCGGAUUAACACCGCAUAAAAACACAGUACGGCAUCGUACAAUGUUCAAAUAUUAAUAGGAUGAAGAUGGGCAUGCGUGUCAUUAGCUAGUUGGUAAGGUAACGGCUUACCAAGGCGACGAUGACUAGGGGAUCUGAGAGGAUGACCCCCCACACUGGUACUGAGACACGGACCAGACUCCUACGGGAGGCAGCAGUAAGGAAUAUUGGUCAAUGGAGGCAACUCUGAACCAGCCAUGCCGCGUGCAGGAAGACUGCCCUAUGGGUUGUAAACUGCUUUUAUACGGGAAUAAACCUAUCUACGAGUAGAUAGCUGAAUGUACUGUAAGAAUAAGGAUCGGCUAACUCCGUGCCAGCAGCCGCGGUAAUACGGAGGAUCCAAGCGUUAUCCGGAUUUAUUGGGUUUAAAGGGAGCGUAGGCGGCCGUUUAAGUCAGAGGUGAAAACUUGCAGCUCAACUGUAAGCUUGCCUUUGAUACUGAAUGG